CGAUGAUGGUUCCGGACUAUUUCCGGCGAAGAGGGAAUGCUGUGAAAAUCAGCAACAGUACCCGCUGCUGUAAGCCUGUUUUUCUACCUGAAUCAACUGAUUGUCACUGCUUUACGAUAGCGGGAAGACGUUUGGGUAGAGGGCGAGUCAGAAGACCUGCCAACAUCCA
rnacentral:ncRNA from 1 species